CGUGCCGGGCUGUGCCCGCCUGCAUCUCCCCCCGCGGGCAGCCUUUGGUGGGGGCAGCGGGGGCACGCAGGCUGUUUACCAACUCCUCAACAUGGAAAAACAAAGCCCUCAUUCCUGGGCCAUGGAAAACUUCUGCCGAUUACUCCACGCCCUCUCUCUGGGGAGGAAAACAUAACAAACACUAAUGUCUCUUCACCCUUUUAUGCCUCGUGUAUUAAUCACCCGACAAGGGCUCAUGGCUUUCCCUGUUCCAGUUUGCAUCUGCCCCGUAACUACUGGGAGGAGUCCUGCUUUGUCUAUAAAAAGCUGCCCUUUGCCAAACACUGUAACAGAACCCAAUUUAGAGAUUCAGUGGCCCAUCCUCUGCGGGGAGAGAGCACCCAGCGCAGCCAUGUUCGGGAUGGGGAAGAAGCUUGCCGAGGAAGCCACGCAACAAGCCGAAAGCGCCGCGCAGGCCGCAGUUGGCACAGUGGGCCAGACUGUGCAGCAAGCAGCGGAACAGGCUAAGGAUGCUGGUCAGAAAGCUCUUGAUGAAGUCUACAAAAUUGCUGAAACCGGUGAAAAAGCUGUGAAAAAUGUAGCGAAUCAAGCAACUUCGUGGGGCAAAAGCUUUGGACAAUGAAGACAAAAAUGAAGCGCCACUGAAAUUUUUGUAAACAAGUUUCUACUACAUGUACUUUUAAAUAAAGAUAAUACUUAUACUCCA
ensembl:lncRNA